GAUGAACGCUGGCGGCGUGCCUAAUACAUGCAAGUCGAGCGAAUGGAUUAAGAGCUUGCUCUUAUGAAGUUAGCGGCGGACGGGUGAGUAACACGUGGGUAACCUGCCCAUAAGACUGGGAUAACUACGGGAAACCGGGGCUAAUACCGGAUAACAUUUUGAACCGCAUGGUUCGAAAUUGAAAGGCGGCUUCGGCUGUCACUUAUGGAUGGACCCGCGUCGCAUUAGCUAGUUGGUGAGGUAACGGCUCACCAAGGCAACGAGGCAUAGCCGACCUGAGAGGGGGGUCGGCCACACUGGGACUGAGACACGGCCCAGACUCCUACGGGAGGCAGCAGUAGGGAGUCUUCCGCAAUGGACGAAAGUCGGACGGAGCAACGCCGCGUGAGUGAUGAAGGCUUUCGGGUCGUAAAACUCUGUUGUUAGGGAAGAACAAGUGCUAGUUGAAUAAGCUGGCACCUUGACGGUACCUAACCAGAAAGCCACGGCUAACUACGUGCCAGCAGCCGCAGUAA
rnacentral:rRNA from 1 species